GACAUGGGGGUGGUCAAUCUGGCCGGGGGGCGGCCCACCAUGAAACUGACCGGCGGCGCGCUGGCGCGGCUCGAAUCCCUGACCCCUCCGGGCCAUGAAGCGCGGAUUGACCUUACAAUUACGGAUGACUGGCCGCUGGCGCAGGCGUUUGUCAUCAUUUCGGCUGUCCCCGCGGUGAAGGUCUGAGCCACCCCGGAGCGCGGUUCCGAACUGCC
rnacentral:misc_RNA from 1 species